rnacentral:rRNA from 1 species
GAAGCCGACCUUAAGAUAAGAUAUCCCAUCGAAAGAGUAAGACCUCUCAAAGACUAUGAGUUUGAUAGGCUCAAAGUGUAAGCGUGGUGACACGUUCAGCUUGCGAGUACUAAUCGGUCGAGGGCUUUUCCUUU